CAAUAAAUUGGACUUUCAUCUUUCUGCGAAUAACACGCGGAAACGACGAUCGCUCGCUCUCUCUCUCUCUCUCUCUCUCUCUCCUCGCAUCUCUCUCCUCUCUCUCUCUCUCGCAUCUCUCUCUUUAGUCUCUCUCUCUCUCUCUGUUUGUCUCGUGCUUCAUGUGGAUUCAGCGAUUGAGAGAGACAUGGAUCUUCGAAAACCCUAACCCUAGUCGUCGGUUCCACUUGGAGAUCCAAGCCGCUUCCCGAUGGCGUCUUCGAGGGUGAUGGCGUCGUCGUCCUCCGCCAACUCUGAUCUCACGCACCAGAUCUCCAUCUGUUCUCUCCCCGUCGCCGAUCUCCAAAGCUCCGUCAGCGGAGGCGGGGGACUCACCAAGGGCCUCGGGUCGAUGAGCAUGGAGGAGCUUUUCCGCACCAUAUGCGCCGAGAACACCGCCGCCUUGGGGGCGGAUGGGGGAGCCUCAGUGUCGCGACAGGGUAGCUUGGCGUCGUUCAAGAGCAUCGGCGGGAAGACGGUGGAGGAGGUAUGGCGGGAGAUCACCGCUGGUCGGGUGGCUGAGGGCGGGGAGGGACCUGGGUCGGAGAUGACGUUGGAGGACUUCUUGGCGCGGGCAGGUGCGGUGGCAGAGGAGGACGUCGGAAUCCCAUCUGGUUCCAUCCAAGCUGGCGGCGGGCCGAAUCCAGUGGUGGGGGAAGCUUUUGUGUCACCGCAAUUGCCUGCGGAUAAUCUGGUUGUUGAAUUUGUCAACGGAGCGGAGGGUGUGGCAAGUAGUAGAGGGAGGAAGAGGCCGUUGUUGGAUCCAGUGGAUAGGGUUGUUAUGCAGCGGCAGAAGAGGAUGAUAAAGAACAGGGAGUCUGCUGCCAGAUCAAGGGAGAGAAAACAGGUUUUUGGUCUGCCCUCACUUUCCAAAGUUAGACUGGCAUAUAUUGCUGAGCUUGAAUCUUUAGUGUCAAAAUUGGAGGAGGAAAAUGCACAGCUAUUGAGAUCUCAGGAGCAGCAGCAAAAGAAGAGAAUUAAGCAGGUAUGAUUAUGUUUCAGGAUCAGACGAGCUUUUUUAUUGUUUCCUGCUCCAUGAAUAAGUCAAAUUGAAGAAAAAUGUUGAAAUUUCUUCGUAAGUUUAUAGCGCAAUUUAUGUGUUGGUCCUGCAUGGUAGAUUUAAUAUCUAUAAGCUCAAAAAAAAAUGCAUUUUUUCUUAGGCUUUUAUGAUUUGCAACCUAUUUAUCUGAAGGCAGCCCAUUUGAUAAGAAGCUGAUUUUGAUGUACGCAAACUGUUGAUACAAAUUGCCUAAUGUUCAAGUUAAAAUUUGUUAGAUUUUACACUUCUAUCCAGAUGUGCAUUUAAUUUCCAUUACUCAUCCUAGGCGAUUGCAGGAUUUCUUUUUGUUUUCGUAAAUUCAUUCUCAGCGUUUAAAAUGGCAUGGUAAUCGUGUCUUGCCAUUGUCAACAUGUUGAAUAGCUUUUAGCUGCUAACCUCUGUGUGUCCACAUCAGUACUCAUUUGAAAAAAACAAAGUUUAUAUCCUCUAAAUUGAAAGAUCCGGGAAACAAAACAGUUACAGCUGAUCAAUUUUAAGCUGCUAACAUGGGCAUAUUUCAAUUCACCACUAAAUAUUUGAUGUGUUGUCCUGGUGAACGAGAACCUAUCACAAGAACCCUCAGACUUGGUAUUGCAAGAAGGACAGCUCACUCUUGGGAAGGACUCUAAUGGAAUGAACUCAACUCACCUAAAGCUUCAGAUGCUGAUCUCGAUGUAUCCAAAAUCAACAAUCUUGGGAAAAAGAAAUGUGAUAUUCUAUAAAUUGAAGGUCACUGAAAAAAUCAACUAUUAGCACUUAGCAGAUCAGAAGAAACAUGCUAUGUAUUUUAUGAAAUGCUUGUGGAAAAUCUAGUACCAGUAACUCAGAAGAAAACAGUGCGUCGAACUCUGAGAAGAACACAGUCCAUAUAGUGGUAGCUAAGAGUAACCAUUUGUUCCCUGAGAUCUUUUCCGGUGCCUCAACAAUAGGCAAGGAAAGGCCAAAAAAAACAAGGCAUUCUGAAUCAUCAUCACUGUGAUCUCCUUGCAUUAUUUACCUGUAGUUUCUUCCUUUUCUGGAGUUGUAUUGUAAAAAGACAACUGAAAUAAUCAUCUCCCAGCUGAGAAACCAUGUGCCAAGUGCUAACCACACACAAGAUACCCUAAAUGUGUAGCUGAUAUGUCAAAUUUAUUUGUAAUGGUUUUUCUCCAUCUUUUAUUUAUCUUCCUGUCA